rnacentral:rRNA from 1 species
GUACACGCUGUGACUAGCAUAUCAAUAAGCGGAGGAAAAGAAACCAACAAGGAUUCCCCUAGUAACGGCGAGUGAAGCGGGAAGAGCUCAAAUUUGAAAUCUUAAAGGGUUUCCCUUUACGAAUUGUAGUUUAAAGAAGUGUUUUCUGUUGAGGUUUUGGUAAAAGUUCUUUGGAAUAGGACAUCAUAGAGGGUGAGAAUCCCGUAUUUGACCUUUACUUUCAACUUUGUGAUACACUUUCAAAGAGUCGGAUUGUUUGGGAAUGCAGUCCAAAAUGGGUGGUAAAUUUCAUCUAAAGCUAAAUAUUGGCGAGAGACCGAUAGCGAACAAGUACCGUGAGGGAAAGAUGAAAAGAACUUUGAAAAGAGAGUUAAACAGUACGUGAAAUUGUCAAAAGGGAAGCGUUUGACACCAGUGUUGUUUUUCUGAAAAUCAAUUAAAGAACUGUUUAUGCUAAGUUGUUUAGACUUUAUCAGCUAACUGUUUAGUUUUGAGCUUUUCUUUAAUGCACUUUUCAGUUAACAAGUCGACAUCAAUUUCUUUUGCUGUAAAAAAGCUUGAGGAAGGUGGCUUGAGAUUCGUCUUAAGUGUUUAUAGCCUCUUGCCUAUGCAGUCGGAGAGAUUGAGGUCUGCAGCGUAGAUCCUUCGGGGCUAAAUGCAUUUGUGCUAAGUUAUAGCAUUUUAUAGACAACUUGUUGACUAUGAUUUGUCUUGUAGCUUACUCGCUUAUGUUAUUUUACCUACGCUUAGGAUGUUGACGCGCGUGUGUGCGUG